rnacentral:rRNA from 1 species
UACGUAGGGAGCAAGCGUUGUUCGGAUUUACUGGGCGUAAAGGGCGCGUAGGCGGCGCGGUAAGUCACUUGUGAAAUCUCUGAGCUUAACUCAGAACGGCCAAGUGAUACUGCAGUGCUAGAGUGCAGAAAGGGCAAUCGGAAUUCUUGGUGUAGCGGUGAAAUGCGUAGAUAUCAAGAGGAACACCGGAGGCGAAAGCGGUGUACUGGGGCUGGUCUGACGCUGAGGCACGAAAGCCAGGGGAGCGAACGGG